rnacentral:lncRNA from 1 species
AAUUUGCAACAUUUUUUUUUUAAAUUUGUAGUAUUUUCUUUUUAGUUUUAUUUUGUACCCAUGUAUUAUUUUCUUUUAGCGCCUAUAUUUUUUAAAAAUUCAUUUGUACUCAUAAUUUUUUAAUCUUUUAUAUGUACCCUAAUUUAUUUAUAAUGUACCCAUUCUUCUUUAUUAAUGUACCACUUUGUUAUAUGUGAAAUG